GAUGAACGCUGGCGGCGUGCCUAACACAUGCAAGUCGAGCGGCAGCGAGGGGUGCUUGCACCCUGUCGGCGAGCGGCGGACGGCUGAGUAACGCGUGGGAACGUGCCCCAAAGUGAGGAAUAACUGCCCGAAAGGGUAGCUAAUACCGCAUAUUAUCUUCGGAUCAAAGGAUUUAUCCGCUUUGGGAGCGGCUCGCGUCGGAUUAGGUAGUUGGCGAGGUAAUGGCUCACCAAGCCGACGAUCCGUAGCUGGUCUGAGAGGAUGACCAGCCAGACUGGAACUGAGACACGGUCCAGACUCCUACGGGAGGCAGCAGUGAGGAAUCUUCCACAAUGGGCGAAAGCCUGAUGGAGCAACGCCGCGUGCAGGACGAAGGCCUUCGGGUUGUAAACUGCUUUUAUAAGUGAGGAAUAUGACGGUAACUUAUGAAUAAGGAUCGGCUAACUACGUG
rnacentral:rRNA from 1 species